rnacentral:rRNA from 1 species
AGUGAACGCUGGCGGUAGGCCUAACACAUGCAAGUCGAACGGCAGCACAGUAAGAGCUUGCUCUUACGGGUGGCGAGUGGCGGACGGGUGAGGAAUACAUCGGAAUCUACUUUUUCGUGGGGGAUAACGUAGGGAAACUUACGCUAAUACCGCAUACGACCUACGGGUGAAAGCAGGGGAUCUUCGGACCUUGCGCGAUUGAAUAAGCCGAUGUCGGAUUAGCUAGUUGGCGGGGUAAAGGCCCACCAAGGCGACGAUCCGUAGCUGGUCUGAGAGGAUGAUCAGCCACACUGGAACUGAGACACGGUCCAGACUCCUACGGGAGGCGGCAGUGGGGAAUAUUGGACAAUGGGCGCAAGCCUGAUCCAGCCAUACCGCGUGGGUGAAGAAGGCCUUCGGGUUGUAAAGCCCUUUUGUUGGGAAAGAAAAGCAGCAGGUUAAUACCCCGCUGUUCUGACGGUACCCAAAGAAUAAGCACCGGCUAACUUCGUG